GCGCGCAUAGCUCAGUUGGCUAGAGCAAUCGACUGAUACUCGGUAGGUCCCAGGUUCGAAUCCUGGUGCGCGCA
rnacentral:tRNA from 1 species